GCAGGCACGCAAAUUACCCACUCCCGGCACGGGGAGGUAGUGACAAAAAAUAACGAUACGGGACUCUUAUGAGGCCCCGUAAUCGGAAUGAGUACACUUUAAAUCCUUUAACAAGGAUCCAUUGAAGGGCAAGUCUGGUGCCAGCAGCCGCGGUAAUUCCAGCUUCAAUAGCGUAUAUUAAAGUUGUUGCGGUUAAAAAGCUCGUAGUUGGUUCUGCGUGCCACGCUGUCGGUUCGCCGCCUGCCGGUGUAACUGGCAUGCCGUGGCAUGUCCUGUCGGUGGCGUUCGGGAGCCUCGUUAGGUGCCGGCCCUUGCCCUAAAGCUUGGUGCUCGGAGGCCGGGGGUAUACCCGUUCGCCUAUCUAUCCUACCUAGGUGCUCUUCACCGAGUGUCGAGGUAGGCCGACACGUUUACUUUGAACAAAUUAGAGUGCUCAAAGCAGGCUGAAAUCUCUGCCUGAAUAGUGGUGCAUGGAAUAAUAAAACAGGACCUUGGUUCUAUUUUGUUGGUUCUUAGGAACACAAGGUAAUGAUCAAUACGGACAGGCGGGGGCAUUCGUAUUGCGACGUUAGAGGUGAAAUUCUUGGAUCGUCGCAAGACGCACAAGAGCGAAAGCAUUUGCCAAGUAUGUCUUGAUUGAUCAAGAACGAAAGUUAGAGGUUCGAAGGCGAUCAGAUACCGCCCUAGUUCUAACCAUAAACGAUGCCAGCCAGCGAUCCGCCGAUGUUCCUCCGAUGACUCGGCGGGGAGCUUCUUCCCGGGAAACCAAAGCUUUUGGGUUCCGGGGGAAGUAUGGUUGCAAAGCUGAAACUUAAAGGAAUUGACGGAAGGGCACCACCAGGAGUGGAGCCUGCGGCUUAAUUUGACUCAACACGGGAAACCUCACCAGGCCAGGACAUUGGAAGGAUUGACAGAUUGAUAGCUCUUUCUUGAUUCAGUGGGUAGUGGUGCAUGGCCGUUCUUAGUUGGUGGAUCGAUUUGUCUGGUUAAUUCCGAUAACGAACGAGACUCUAGCCUAUUAACUAGGCGUUUUCCGGUGCCCCCGUCACCGGCGACAUUCAUUCUUCUUAAGGGGACAGGCGGCUUUUAGCCGCACGAGAUUGAGCAAUAACAGGUCUGUGAUGCCCUUAGAUGUCCUGGGCCGCACGCGCGCUACACUGAAGGAAUCAGCGUGUGCCUCCCUGGCCGAAAGGCCCGGGUAAUCCGCUGAACCUCCUGCGUGCUAGGAAUUGGGGCUUGCAAUUGUUCCCCAUGAACGAGGAAUUCCCAGUAAGCGCGAGUCAUAAGCUCGCGUUGAUUACGUCCCUGCCCUUUGUACACACCGCCCGUCGCUACUACCGAUUGAAUGAUUUAGUGAGGUCUUCGGACUGGCGGUAAUCCCUA
rnacentral:rRNA from 1 species